AGCAUUUGUAAAAUUUGAUAUGUUUUGAGUAAAAAUAGGGGACAAUUUAAAAAUAAAAUUAAUCACAAAGCAAGUAUUUUGUUAAUAACCGGUUAUAUGGCUCUGAAACCGGAGGUCAAUUUUGAAACAAGCUAAUUAUAAUUGGUUAUAUAGCAUUGAAACCGGUAAUUUGAAUUACUUAAAACAUGAUAUAGCAUUGAAAACCGGUAAUGAUAAGAUGUUGUAACACCGAUGUCAUUGGAUAAACCAAAAGAUAUUUUCUUCUAAUGGACUGAAUGCUUCUGAUGAUAACCUAGGUAGACGGUUCCACAAGAAUUAAAGAUCUCAUACUAGCUUUCGUAUUGUCUUAGACUUAUGUAUUAAGUGUUGUUCAUCUUGUUUGUGUUCAAUCAUGAAGUUGCUUUAAUAAUCGUUUGAAUUUUCUUAUCAAUUUUUAUUUUCAGAAUCUUGAAAUGUUGAUUAGACUGACGACUUGUUUCCUCAAAUCUGUAGACGGCUGUGACGGAGAGAGAUGCAGAGCCGCCGCCAAUUCCAGAUCUAUCACUCCAUGAGAGGUGUUUUCAGGCUGCCUCUACCAGAAUCUACAUAUUUCUUCAGCGUAACAAGCACGCCACCGCCACCACCGAAUCUUGAGGGCCGUGACCGCCGAUGACGUAUUCCCCAUUGCAACAGCAGAGUGGGCGACGUAUUAUCCGCAACUGUCUUCCCCCGCUUGCUUCAGCCAUACAAGAAGCUCUACAACCAUCGUUCUGGUCGACCCGUCAUCGCUGCCGCCACUCUCUCGUCCUUGACUGGCAUCUUAGCCGCUGCCGAUGUGACCUUCUUCAUCGACGCUAUGCUAAUCAAAUGUUAGCUUCCGCAGAAAACGAGAAUCAGAUACAACACAGAAGCGCAGCAAGAGAGAGGAGAGAAGUUACAGAAGAAAGAGAAUGGUGAAGAAAUUAAGUGAGUGAGAGAGAG
rnacentral:lncRNA from 1 species